GGUUACCGAUUUUCUCUGCAGGUGGCGGAGGGUGUUAGAUGGAUGGCCCAGUGGCCAAAGGGAGGCAUCGAGGGAAGGUGGGGGGGGGAUCCUCUUGGUUCCUUAGAAGCCAAAGUAGCAACGUUUUUGAUCUUAGGAAUCCCCAGAGAUAUCAACUGGAAGGGUGUUUUUGUCAAAACAGAGAAACUAGACCAGGUCAUAGUCCUAUGGCAGGGACAGGAUCAGGGGCCACAGGCUGUGACAAAGCCUAGUUCUCCAGUCCUCCCCUGAAAAGGGGCGGAGAUACCCACGGGCUCGGGUGAGCUCAGAUUCCCCCUUCUAUGUCUCCAAGACAGAAGAACAGCAAAAUAUGCCUGGUCUAACCUCGAAGGAUGCGAGAGCUAAGAGGAGCAGGCCCUGACCUGGAUCCGACCCUACGGGUCCCUUCCGAGAACCCUCACCAGGUGUACCGUAACCCUGAGGAUCCAACCUUGCGCACCCUGGACUUCAGAGAGCCUCCACGGGUGAAUCCUGACCUGGCAGGCAAUGGCCAGAAGGCAAAGGUUAGAAGGCAAAGACCUGUUUGUUUCCGCCGCCCAGUGGGGGCCGCUUGUGCAAGGCUGAGGGAUAGAUACAGCUCCUCCUUCAUCUCCCUGGGGCACAGGCUGGAGGAUUGUGCUCCACAGCAAAGGUUCCUGGACCUGUUGGUGAUCCCUCAGCGACUGCCAUCUGAAAUCCAGUUUGGGGGCUGGGGAAAGGCUCAGUGACUAAGAGUGCUUUCUAUGUACGUAUGGAGACCUAAGUUUGGAUCCCUGCACGCACACCAAAAAGCAGGCAAAUGUGCUUGCUGCCAAGCUGGAGAAACUGAGUUUGAUCCUUGGAACCCUCACGGUGGAAGAAGAGAGUUGACUAUUGGAGUUGGCCACUAUAGAAGGCACAGACCACACCCCAACACAUACAUAACACACAUACAAUAAAGAAAUAGAAGUCAAGUUCUUAAAUUAAAUAGGAAUUUAAUUAGCAUAAGCAUGGACAGAGUCUAUGGGAGCACAGACUCCUCAGCCUAACCCUAACCCUAACCCUAACCCUAACCCUAACCCUAACCCUAACCCUACCCUCGUCUGCCUUUGGCAAGCUUCCUAUUAGGUUGAUGUACCAGAGGUCCCUGGGCUGUUUGUUCCCACAGCAGCCUGGGGCAUUUGCCCUAUAACAAGAACCCUGAAUAAAAUGCUUCUGCCUCUUGACCAUUUA
rnacentral:lncRNA from 1 species